rnacentral:tRNA from 1 species
GAAAAAGUAUGCAAGAACUGCUAACUCUAUGCCUCCAUGUUUAACAGCAUGGCUUUUUCA